CAAGAACCCAAGUCUCCAAGUCCAGUGCUCUUCAGCCAUCCCUGGCUUCCUGACAAGUUGUAAAACUCUGAUGCAGAUCUAGAAGCCAAGGAAAGGUCACAGCCAGCCUUGUAAGAAGAUGCCGCACUAAGAUGGUUUUAGCAAUAAAACGCAGACUAUGAAGAUGAUGUUAGACAAAAAGCAAAUUUGAGCAAUUUUCUUAUUCCUGUUCAAAAUGGGUUGUAAAGUAGCAAAGACAACUCACAACAUCAACAAUGCAUUUGGCCCAGGAACUGCUACUGAAUGUACCAUGCAAUGGUGGCUCAAGAAAUUUUGCAAAUGAGACAAGAGCUUUGAAGAUGAGGAGUGUAGUGGCCGGCCAUCGAAGUUCACAGCCAAUUGAGGGCAAUCAUCAAAGUUGAUCCUCUUACAACUACACAACUGCCGAAGAACUGAACGUCAACCAUUCUAUGGUUGUUCAGCAUUUGAAGCAAAUUGGAAAGGUGAAAAAGCUCAGCUCAGUAAGCUGGUGCCUCAUGAGCUGACCAAAAAUAAAAACAAAUUAAAAAAAAAAAAAUUUGAAGUGUCAUCUUAUCUUAUGCUAUGCAACAACAAUGAACCAUUUCUCAAUACGUCUGUGACAUGUGACGAAAGUGGAUUUUAUAUGAGAAUUGGCGAAAACCAGCUCAAUGGUUGGACCCAGAAGAAGCUCCAAAGCACUUCCCAAAGUCAAACUUCCACCAAAAAAAGGUCAUGGUCACUGUUUGGUGGUCUGCUGCCAGUCUGAUCCACUACAGCUUUCUGAAUCCUGGCAAAACGAUUACACCCAAGAAGUAUGCUCAGCAAAUUGACUAGAUGCGCCAAAAACUGCAAUGCCUGCAGCCAGCAUUGGUCAACAGAAAGGGCCCAAUUAUUCUCCACGACACAACCCGACUGCAUGUCACACAACCAACACUUCAAAAGUUGAAUGAACUGGGCUACAAAGUUUUGCUUCAUCCACCGUAUUCACCUGACCUCUUGCCAACCUAUUACCACUUCAAGCAUCUCAACAACUUUUUGCAGGGAAAACGCUUUCACAACCAGCAAGAUGCAGAAAAUGCUUUCCAUGAGUUGUUGAAUCCCAAAGCAUGGAUUUUUGUUCUACAGGAGUAAACAAAUAUAUUUCUUGUUGGCAAAAAAAUGUUUUGAUUGUAGUGGUUCCUACUUUGAUUAAUAAAGAUACAUUUGAGCCUAGUUAUAAUGAUUUAAAAUUCAUGAUCCGAAACCACAAUUACUUUUGCACCGACCUGUAUUUGAAAGUGCACUGGGCCACCCAGCAAGAGUUCUUACAUUUCGUCUUGCUCCAGAACAAAAUGUUGGAGCAGCUCCAGUUCUGCAGUGUCGUGUCAGAGCACAGAGUUCAGGAAGCUAAACAGGAAGCCACGAGCUCAUUCCCUGAUAAUCUGGAGAACAAG